CGUGGAGACAGGUGGUGCAUGGCUGUCGUCAGCUCGUGUCGUGAGAUGUUGGGUUAAGUCCCGCAACGAGCGCAACCCUCACCCCUUGUUGCCACCGGGUUAUGCCGAGCACUCUAGGGGAACUGCCAGCGUCAAGCUGGAGGAAGGCGGGGAUGACGUCAAGUCAUCAUGCCCCUUACGCCCUGGGCGACACACGUGCUACAAUGGCUGGUACAAAGGGAUGCAAGACCGCGAGGUGGAGCUAAUCCCAAAAAACCGGUCUAAGUUCAGAUUGCAGUCUGCAACUCGACUGCAUGAAGGAGGAAUCGCUAGUAAUCGCGCAUCAGCACGGCGCGGUGAAUACGUUCCCGGGCCUUGUACACACCGCCCGUCACACCACGAAAGCCUGCUGUACUCGAAGUCGCUGAG
rnacentral:rRNA from 1 species